rnacentral:RNase_P_RNA from 1 species
CGACUUCACCAAACGGCCGCGCGGUAUGUUGCCGAAAGGUAUUACCGUGAGGAAAGUCCGGGCUUCAUAGGGCAGGAUAGCUGAUAACGUCAGCCGCAGGCGACUGCCGGGAAAGUGCAACAGAAAUAAACCGCCCCAUCUUUGGGGUAAGGAUGGAAAGGCGAGGUAAGAGCUCACCCACUCCUAUGGUAACAUAGGUUUGCUGUAAACCCUAUCCGAAGCAACACCGCACGGGGACGUUGGCCCGACGUUGUCCCCUUGGUGGCACGGGAGUGAUCCCGAAGGUUUGCGGUGACGCAAAUCGCAGAUAGAUGGCCGUUCACGACAGAACCCGGCUUAUCGGUGGAGUCCUUUA